GCAACAGAUGUCACUGGCGCAUCUAUAAUGACUGUCUUUCUUGAUUACAGGAAAGCAUUUGACUUGGUCGAUCAUACCCUUUUGAUUGCUAAACUAUAUAUAGUUCAAACCAUGUGUAGUGAACUGGUCAGGAUCACUGAUUUUUUACGUAAUAGAUGGCAGAGGGUGAAAUUAAACGAUAAGUGUUUCUCCGACUGGUUAGAGGUUCCAGCUGGUGUCCCCCAUGGUACGUGACUUGGCCCCUGGCUGUUUUUGGCCAUGAUAAAUGAUCUUAC